ensembl:snRNA U6 U6 spliceosomal RNA
UUUCACUUCAGUAGAACAUACAAUAAAAUUGGAACAAUAUAGAAGUUAGCAUGGUACCUGCACAAGGAUGACAUGCAAAUUCAUGAAGCAUUCUGUAUUUUU